UUCAGGGGUCCAUAGAAAGCAAAAGGGGAAAGAAAUGGGAUCCAUUCUUUACAGCAACAAGCAGAAGAUGGGAUACUUGGAAUUUUAAAAAUUUAAUAUCUGCCUUUCUGAGUUUUGAUCUUGCUUUGGGAGGUUCACUGCAGAGUUUGCCUUGAGCUUCAGAAGACUUUGAACUUGAGUUUUUAGCCCAUAUUGGAGCAACUUGGAGAUGGAGUGAAUGAAUUUUACAUUGUGAGAAGAGCAUCAGUUUUGCAGGCCACGGGAGGAAUGCUGUAGUUUGGAUACUAUCUGUCUCCACAAAGGAACUGUGAACCAUCAGUACCAUGUAAACAGUCAAGUUGUUUCUGCAACCAUACAGCAAAAUGGGAAGAACCAAAAUUUGCAAUUAGUUAUAGCCUGCACUCAUAGCUUAUUCACGUCAGAGAUACCAGAAUUUCAGAGCUAAGCCUCUUCUGAAGCUCUUCUCAGAGUCAUUCUAGAAGCCAAAAGGUUUUGAACCUCUUCUGUGAUAUGUAGUUUAUAAUAUUCGUGUUGCUCUAAUCAGAAAUGUUGCCAGUGGAUUACAAUUCCGUGAAACGAAUCACCUUAGUGAUUUGAUUAAGGUGCAGAUUAAUGU
rnacentral:lncRNA from 1 species